rnacentral:rRNA from 1 species
CCCUUAGAUGUUCUGGGCCGCACGCGCGCUACACUGACGAAUGCAACGAGCUUAUAACCUUGGCCGAAAGGUCUGGGUAAUCUCCAAAUUUCGUCGUGAUGGGGAUAGAUUAUUGCAAUUAUUAAUCUUCAACGAGGAAUGCCUAGUAAGCGCAAGUCAUCAGCUUGCGUUGAUUACGUCCCUGCCCUUUGUACACACCGCCCGUCGCCCCUACCGAUUGAAUGGUCCGGUGAAGCGUUCGGACCGUGGCCUUUGGACGGUUCGCCGUCUGUUGGCUGCGGGAAGUUCGUUAAACCUUAUCAUUUAGAGGAAGGAGAANUCGUAACA